UACGUAGGGUGCGAGCGUUGUCCGGAAUUAUUGGGCGUAAAGAGCUUGUAGGCGGUUUGUCGCGUCUGCUGUGAAAAUCCGGGGCUCAACCCCGGACUUGCAGUGGGUACGGGCAGACUAGAGUGUGGUAGGGGAGACUGGAAUUCCUGGUGUAGCGGUGGAAUGCGCAGAUAUCAGGAGGAACACCGAUGGCGAAGGCAGGUCUCUGGGCCACUACUGACGCUGAGAAGCGAAAGCAUGGGGGAGCGAA
rnacentral:rRNA from 1 species